UUGUUAGCAUAAGUAUGUCUUGUGCCAUAUUUGGGAUAUAUUUAUACUAAAA
rnacentral:pre_miRNA from 1 species